AUAGUUAUCUGGCAGGGGAGAUACCAUGAUCAUGAAGGUGGUUUUCCCAGAGAGAAGUUUAUCUAUUGUACUCCGGAUGUGCUAAAAUCUGCGAUUUCCCCAAAUGCAUUGAAACUCCACUACAUAAUUUGUGGUAGUGGGGACUGCAUUCGCGCAUUCCCCUG
ensembl:snRNA U1 U1 spliceosomal RNA